UCAUCCUCUGCAGGGCGCGCGCCGGGGGACACAGCGUCACAGCGGGAUCCCGGUCACAGUCCCCCACCUCACCCUUGCUCGCCCGUUCCCAUAGUCACCAGCACGCCACGCGCCCCCCCAGUCUCGAACCGACGGAGACAUCGCGUGCCUUAAGAACAGCAGCAAUGGCCGAGGACGUCGGCGCAUCACGCAUUAAUCCUCAUUAUGGAGUAAGCUGCUAUACCCUCUCUACCCUUCUGCCUGCCUGUUUUCUCCCUCCACCCUGCUCAUCUCCGCCUAAAGCCUGCUACCUUUACUC